rnacentral:rRNA from 1 species
CAAUAGCGUAUAUUUAAGUUGCUGCAGUUAAAAAGCUCGUAGUUGGAUUUCGGGUGGGAAUGGCCGGUCCGCCGUUUCGGUGUGCACUUGCUACGCCCACCUUGCUGCCGGGGACGUGCUCUUGAGUUCACGGUCGGGACACGGAGUCGGCGAGGUUACUUUGAGUAAAUUAGAGUGUUCAAAGCAGGCCUACGCUCUGAAUACAUUAGCAUGGAAUAACACGAUAGGACUCUGGCCUAUCUUGUUGGUCUGUAGGACCGGAGUAAUGAUUAAGAGGGACAGUCGGGGGCAUUCGUAUUUCAUUGUCAGAGGUGAAAUUCUUGGAUUUAUGAAAGACGAACUACUGCGAAAGCAUUUGCCAAGGAUGUUUUCAUUAA